UACGUAGGGGGCGAGCGUUGUCCGGAAUUAUUGGGCGUAAAGAGCUCGUAGGCGGCUCAGCAAGUCGGCUGUGAAAUCCCGAGGCUCAACCUCGGAACUGCAGUCGAUACUGCUGUGGCUAGAGUCUGGUAGAGGAGAGUGGAAUUCCCGGUGUAGCGGUGAAAUGCGCAGAUAUCGGGAGGAACACCAGUAGCGAAGGCGGCUCUCUGGGCCAGCACUGACGCUGAGGAGCGAAAGCGUGGGGAGCAAACA
rnacentral:rRNA from 1 species